CCUACGGGAGGCAGCAGUAGGGAAUCUUUCACAAUGGGCGAAAGCCUGAUGGAGCAACGCCGCUUGCAGGAUGAAGGCCUUCGGGUUGUAAACUGCUUUUAUAAGCGAGAAAUAUGAUGGUAACUUAUGAAUAAGGAUCGGCUAACUACGUGCCAGCAGCCGCGGUCAUACGUAGGAUCCGAGCAUUAUCCGGAGUGACUGGGUGUAAAGAGUUGCGUAGGUGGUCCGGAAAGUCAGCGGUAAAAGCCCGGGGCUCAACCCCGGCGAGCCGUUGAAACUGUCGGACUAGAGACGGCGAGAAGUACGCGGAAUGCGCGGUGUAGCGGUGAAAUGCAUAGAUAUCGCGCAGAACUCCGAUUGCGAAGGCAGCGUACCGGCGCCGGACUGACGCUGAGGCACGAAAGCGUGGGUAUCGAACAGGAUUAGAUACCCGGGUAGUC
rnacentral:rRNA from 1 species